GAUGAACGCUGACAGCAUGCUUAACACAUGCAAGUCCACUUGAAUUUGGGUUUUUACCUUAGGUUUGGGUGGCGGACGGGUGGGUAACGGGUAAAGAAUUGGCCUCACACCUAGGGAAAACUUUUGGAAACGAAUCCUAAACCCUAAUAUUAGGUUAAUGGGCAUUCCUAUAUUAUGGAAACUUAUAAGCGCUGUGAGAGAGCUUUGCGUCCCAUUAGCUAGUUGGAGAGGUAACGGCUCACCAAGGCGAUGAUGGGUAGCCGGCCUGAGAGGGUGAUCGGCCACAAGGGGACUGAGACACGGCCCUUACUCCUACGGGAGGCAGCAGUGGGGAAUAUUGGACAAUGGACCGAGAGUCUGAUCCAGCAAUUCUGUGUGCACGAUGAAGUUUUUCGGAAUGUAAAGUGCUUUCAGUUGGGAAGAAACAAAUGACGGUACCAACAGAAGAAGUGACGGCUAAAUACGUG
rnacentral:rRNA from 1 species